UAGAUCCUUCUCCAAAGAAGCGAAAACUGAGUUUUUAGUGUGUUGAAGUCGUCAGCGCUUGGUCAGGAGGGGCAUUUUGCCGGUACACAGUUGUGAACUGCGAAUUUUGUCCCAUAUUGAGCAAAAGGGGAAGAGGUAAUCGGUAUUAUAAACCGGGAAAUGAUAACAAGAUUUUAUUGGCCAACUGUGUGAAAAUGGUUUGACGCAUUAAUUGUGUGCCUUUUAUCCUUGGGAAAACCAAUCUGAAAAGGAGUUGUAAUGGAUACCGAUCUGAAAAUGUCACUGUUCACCACUGUCUGUGCGCUGGCCGUGAUUAUUGCUUUUAGCUUCACCGCAGCAUUGAACUGAUCC
rfam:Hammondia hammondi strain H.H.34 contig04548, whole genome shotgun sequence.